rnacentral:rRNA from 1 species
CCUACGGGGGGCAGCAGUGGGGAAUAUUGGACAAUGGGCGAAAGCCUGAUCCAGCCAUGCCGCGUGUGUGAAGAAGGCCUUCGGGUUGUAAAGCACUUUCAGUGGGGAAGAAAGCCUUGGGGCUAAUACCCUCGAGGAAGGACAUCACCCACAGAAGAAGCACCGGCUAACUCCGUGCCAGCAGCCGCGGUAAUACGGAGGGUGCGAGCGUUAAUCGGAAUUACUGGGCGUAAAGCGCGCGUAGGCGGUCUGAUAAGCCGGUUGUGAAAGCCCCGGGCUCAACCUGGGAACGGCAUCCGGAACUGUCAGGCUAGAGUGCAGGAGAGGAAGGUAGAAUUCCCGGUGUAGCGGUGAAAUGCGUAGAGACCGGGAGGAAUACCAGUGGCGAAGGCGGCCUUCUGGACUGACACUGACGCUGAGGUGCGAAAGCGUGGGUAGCAAACAGGAUUAGAUACCCCAGUAGUC